rnacentral:rRNA from 1 species
GACAGAGGAUGCAAGCGUUGUUCGGAAUUACUGGGCGUAAAGGGCGCGUAGGCGGCCAGCACAAGUCAGUUGUGAAAUCUCCGGGCUUAACUCGGAACGGCCAAGUGAUACUGUCGUGCUAGAGUGCAGAAGGGGCAAUCGGAAUUCUUGGUGUAGCGGUGAAAUGCGUAGAUAUCAAGAGGAACACCUGAGGUGAAGACGGGUUGCUGGGCUGACACUGACGCUGAGGCGCGAAGGCGUGGGGAGCGAACGGG